CGAUUCUGGCUCAGGACGAACGCUGGCGGCGUGCCUAAUACAUGCAAGUCGAACGGUCUUUCUAUGGAAGCUUGCUUCCACUGAGAAGAUAGUGGCGAACGGGUGGGUAACACGUGGGUAACCUGCCCAUAAGAGGGGGGAUAACAUCCGGAAACGGGUGCUAAUACCGCAUAGUUUUCUUGAUCGCAUGAUCGGGAAAGGAAAGACGGCCUUUGUGCUGUCGCUUAUGGAUGGACCCGCGGCGUAUUAGUUAGUUGGUGAGGUAACGGCUCACCAAGACGAUGAUACGUAGCCGACCUGAGAGGGUGAUCGGCCACAUUGGGACUGAGACACGGCCCAAACUCCUACGGGAGGCAGCAGUAGGGAAUCUUCCGCAAUGGACGAAAGUCUGACGGAGCAACGCCGCGUGAGUGAAAGAAGGUUUUCGGAUCGUAAAACUCUGUUGUCAGAGAAGAACAAGUUGGAGAGUAACUGCUCCAGCCUUGACGGUAUCUGACCAGAAAGCCACGGCUAACUACGUGCCAGCCGCGGC
rnacentral:rRNA from 1 species